rnacentral:snRNA from 1 species
GUGCCUGCUUCAGUAGCACAAACACUAAAAUUUAGACAACAAAUAGAUUAACAUGGUCCCUGUACAAGGAUGUACACAAAUCCAUGAAGGAGUCCAUAUCUUA